CGGUAUUUUGACCGUGCGAAGGUAGCGCAAUCACUUGUCUUUUAAAUGAAGACCCGUAUGAAUGGCAUAACGAGGGCUUAACUGUCUCCUCUUUCUAGUCAAUGAAAUUGAUCUCCCCGUGCAGAAGCGGGGAUAUAAACAUAAGACGAGAAGACCCUAUGGAGCUUUAGACACCAAGGUAGCCCACGUUAAGCACCCUCAACAAAGGAUUAAACCACAGUGAGCCCUGCCCUACUGUCUUUGGUUGGGGCGACCGCGGGGAAUUAAAAAACCCCCACGUGGAACGGGAAUACUUCUCCCAAAGCUAAGAGCCACAGCUCUAGUAAACAGAACUUCUGACCAACAAGAUCCGGCAAUGCCGAUCAACGGACCGAGUUACCCUAGGGAUAACAGCGCAAUCCUCUUUUAGAGCCCAUAUCGACAAGGGGGUUUACGACCUCGAUGUUGGAUCAGGACAUCCUAAU
rnacentral:rRNA from 1 species